rnacentral:rRNA from 1 species
AGUAGGGAAUCUUCCGCAAUGGGCGAAAGCCUGACGGAGCAAUGCCGCGUGAGUGAUGAAGGUUUUCGGAUCGUAAAGCUCUGUUGCCAGGGAAGAACGCUUGGGAGAGUAACUGCUCCCAAGGUGACGGUACCUGAGAAGAAAGCCCCGGCUAACUACGUGCCAGCAGCCGCGGUAAUACGUAGGGGGCAAGCGUUGUCCGGAAUUAUUGGGCGUAAAGCGCGCGCAGGCGGUCAUGUAAGUCUGGUGUUUAAUCCCGGGGCUCAACCCCGGAUCGCACUGGAAACUGGGUGACUUGAGUGCAGAAGAGGAGAGUGGAAUUCCACGUGUAGCGGUGAAAUGCGUAGAGAUGUGGAGGAACACCAGUGGCGAAGGCGACUCUCUGGGCUGUAACUGACGCUGAGGCGCGAAAGCGUGGGGAGCAAACAGGAUUAGAUACCCUGGUAGUCCACGCCGUAAACGAUGAGUGCUAGGUGUUAGGGGUUUCGAUACCCUUGGUGCCGAAGUUAACACA